rnacentral:lncRNA from 1 species
AACUACCACUGAAUGGCACAACGGAGGAAAAAUUCACUCAACAGUCUUUCUAAGCAUCUUCAAAUCUUGCACUGCAAGGUUAUUAUGUGCUUGGAGUAGCUUCUACUUUACUCUCUGUAGUUGCCUCAGCAGCAUCUUGCUCUCCAGGCUUUGACACUUCUUGAUCUAUAAUUGGCAAACACAGAAGAGUCAUAUGUCCAAUAGCCAUGUCAAGCAACUAAGAAAAAGGAAAUUAAAGGGGCUGAAAAUUGCAAAGAAUUGAUGCUAUAAACUACAUGACUUCAAAAUAAAUCCUCUUUUCUUUAACUCCCUUACUCAAGGAGAAUGCCCUCAGAUUGAAAUUAAUAAUCUCAUAAUAUUGCGUAUAAAAUAUGAAUUUAAUCUCUAGUCUUUAGAAAUAUAUAAAUGUAUAUAUAUUAAGUUUUUUAUAUUUGUGAAGAAGCUCAAGAAAGUAUCCAUGAUGAAUACAAGCUGUAGAGCUACUUAUUUCCACUUCCGCAACUCAAGAGCUAACCCUUAACCCUCAUGUUAACAACCAACGUAACUUUAAGAACAUUUAAUAUAUCCUAAAGCUACAUUGUCAUAAGUUGCAUAUUUCUUUAAACAGUAAGCUGCCUGUUUCUACAUACAAGCAUAUUAUAUUAACAUAACAAACCACAAAAAAUCUAAGUAUCAUGCAUACUAUAUAGUAACCAAGUAUCAUGUGCAUGGAACAGAGAGAGAGAUCAACAAAAAUGAAAAUGUGCAUGCAUACCUUCAUCGUCACUCUCGUCAAACAAACCAUCAGCGCACCCUCCUCUUUUCGGUUUCAUUCCAUUCUUUCUCUAAUUGCCACCCGGACUUGUAAUCAGUUCGGUCGUGCAAAAACUUGCAUGAAUCGCCGUAGCCACAAUAUCCGGUCUCCUUGAAGUCUUUGCAUAGGUCGGGUUGAUAAUCGAUUCUUGAUGAAACUCUAAUAUGAGUUGAAGGUCGGAGAGGACCGUGUGUCGACCCACCAGUUCCCUCGAGACUCGUUUCAGUCUCCAAAGUUGCUGUUGCUUUGCUAUCAUGUUGAACUUGAAUCUCUUUUGAAGAUUCAAAAUGAAAGCUAAGUUUCUUGGAUGCUUCAUUAGGUUUAGCGGUGGAAAAGAAUAACCCAUUGUAUUUGUAGCACCUAUGGCCCAAUUGAAGCCCAGUUUUUCAUUUAAUAAUAGUAAAAUGUGCUUUUUGAGUCAAAAAAAUAAAAUAGAAAUAAACCCAAAAUCCAGCCAAGAUUAUUUUGUAAAAAAAAUAACAAACCCAAAAUUAAAAUAGGUUAAAUUACACUAGAGAUCCUUUAAGUUUGUGGUUUGUAACAAAUUAGUUAAGUUAUUUUGGUCACACAUAAGUUCUUUAAGUAGUCUGUAACAGAUUGGUUCUUUAAGUUAUUUUGGUCACAAAUAAAUACUUUAAGUUUGUAAACAUUUUCUAUUUAGUCCUUUCUUUAACCAAACAGUGAUGUGGUAAAAUGACUAUAUCGAAAAUGUUUACAAACUUAAAGUACUUAUUUGUGACCAAAAUAACUUAAAGGAUCAAUCUGUUACAAACCUCAAACGUAAAAGACUUAUGUGUGACCAAAAUAAUUUAAAGGACUAAUAUGUUACAAACCUCAAAUUUAAAGGACACGUGGUGUAAUUUAACCAUUAAAAUUAAAGUUUCUGCCCAAAGUUGGGACUUUCUCAGACAAAGCAUACAAUUCCCCAAUCAAAAAAAUAAUCUAAUUCAACAUCACAAAAGCACUUAUUUGAAACUUGAAUCAUAACCUAAUUUGGAGGAAAAAAAUCCUGAAAAUACAUCAUUAAGGAGAGAGAGUAAUACAUAAUUAAAGAUAUUAAUAAAAAAAAGUAACAUUAACUAUUCAUAGAUAUUAAUUUUAUCUUCUUCAAAAUAAAAUUAUUCAGUGAUAAUAUAAUUGAUUUUAGGAUAAUAUUUUCUUCAAAACAACUUAUAAUUUAGGUCAGAGGGAGUAAUAAUUUUUUAAUUAAAAACUAACAAAUUCACAACACCAUAAAAGCGCUUAUUUGAAAUCGCGAUUUUGAAAGAUAUGGGUUAAGUCCGCAAUUAUCAUGAAAAUGACAGUAUCCUUACACACUAAUAAGUCUCUUAGCCGGAGGCUAUUUAAAUUUUUGCUAGAGUUAAUUGCAACGGGGGGACUAUCUGUGAACGUUUUUAUUUUGCUGCACCAAGUUGCGUAACAUUUUGUCAAUUAUUCCAAACUUGUAGGACUAAAAUGAAUUUUUUUCGUUGAGAAAUUGUUGGGUUAACAAGGAAAGAAUUUGAUGACUAUUGAAAAGUUUGCAACUAUUGUUGAAAGUGUUGGUGGAAGAAAGUGCGAGCUUUCUAUAUACUGCGUGCGACUCAAAUUUAUUUUUUAGCAAACACUUCAGCACUUCAACGUUCAAAGACUUUCCACAGGCGCAUAGAUCUCUCCGAUUAUUUGAUUUGAUAAGACAAUUAAUGAAUUAGGAAAAGAGAAUUUUAUGAUAGCCAACACAAUAUAACAUUACAUACUACCAUCAAGUUGAUAGCAAAAUAUAAUUUACUCCCACUUAGGUAAGCUCUAGAAGAUAAAAAAACUGAAGAUCUAAUGUAAAGAAACUUCCCUAAUAUUGCACGUAAAUCAAGUUGUAUAAUGCAGAACUUCUGAAAAUUCCGUUCAAAGCGUUGAGUUUAGUGUACUCUACACUUGUCUCAUUUCUAAGAUCCUUUAAUGAUUCAAGUAUUUUGACUACGGUGAUUAAAUCUUGUGGAAAAUCUGUCACAAUAUUUAGGAAAAUCUCAAAUUUGAUGUGCGAAAUAAGAUCAAGUGAAUAUUAUACCAACGUUCUUUUCCAUCGAGACAGCGCUGGCUAGAAACAAAUCACCGCCAUUCAUGCAUUAAAUAAAUCUCAAUUAUACAAUAUCCUACUGUUAAGUCAACACAUCAAAGAGGACACAAACGUCUCCCACUUAAACUACCACUGAAUGGCACAAAGGAGGAAAAAUUUCACUCAACAGUCUUUAUAAGCAUCUUCAAAUCUUGCACUGCAAGGUUAUUAUGUGCUUGGAGUAGCUUCUACACUCUCUGUAGCUGCCUCACCAGCGCUCUUGCCUGCAGCAUCUUGCUCUCCAGGCUUUGACACUUCUUGAUCUAUAAUUGGCAAACACAGAUUAGUGCAAAAAAUUACAAUGGCCCAGAAAUUUAGCAAGUAUUUUGAUGAUGUUUUACAACUGCAACAUUUGUUAACAUGUCUUUAUAUUGCUUGCAUUCAUUAUGAACAUCUAGUUCAAAAAAGGGAUUGUAAGCACACAGAAAAGUCAUAUGCCCAAUCAUGUCAAGCAACUAAGAAAAAGGAAAUUAAAGGGGGCGAAAAUUGCAAAGAAUUGAUGAUAUACUACACGACUUCAAAAUAAAUCCUCUUUUCUUUAACUCACUUACCGAAGUAGAAUGCCCUCAAAUUGAAAUUAAUAAUCUCAUAAUAUUACAUGUAAAAUAUGAAUUUAAUCUCUAAUCUUUAGAAAUAUAUAAAUGUAUAAAUUAAUAAU